GUCCAUGGCUGUACUACCCUGAAUGCCUCCGAUCUCAUCUGAUCUCAGAAGCUAAGCAGGGUCAGGCCUGUUUGGAUAGGAGACAUCUAAA
ensembl:rRNA 5S_rRNA 5S ribosomal RNA